CCACUGAGACGAAGUGACUGUCUCAUCCCCCACUUAUUUGAUUUCAGAUAAGCAGGUUGAUCGCGAUGUCGUGGUCAGCAAGCAUGAAGACCCAGAUAUGUGGAGUACGAUUUGGAGCUGACGUUAUGUUUAUCUUAUAUCUUGUAUAAGAUUCAGUUUAUUUAUGUUUAGUUGUUGGCUCAAAUUUGUAUUCACUUCUUGGAUUUUAUAAUCCUAUUCAUGUGUUUAUGUAAUGAAAAUUUAAUGUUUUCCGAUUCAGUUAUGUACACUCUUGUCGGUAUUCUAGAUAAAUUGACAUGGGUUGUUUUACCUCCCACAUGCAAUCAAGUUCAUAAUUGAGUUCUUAAGAGGCGGUGAACAUAGCAUGAAUUCAAAGGAAAUUAUGGAGGAUUGAUACAAAAUUACCCUUACCUUGAAGCUUGAGAUGAGAGGAACUUAUUUAUGGAAUUGAAUGUUGAUUUAAGAUGUGGCUAUAGUCACACCAAUAUUUUUACUUAAAAUUCACCUUUUUAGGUUCAUUGCAUAAUUAAUGUAUCUGGUCUAUAAUAUAGACCAAAUACAUUAAUUAUACAAUGAACAUAAAAAAGUAAAUUUUACUUGUAAGCAUAUUGUUUACGUGAAAAUUUGGUAAACAACCGCUAGUUUAAGUAUUUAAACUCGCGAGACCAACUAGUAAAUCUCAG
rnacentral:lncRNA from 1 species